rnacentral:rRNA from 1 species
UACGUAGGGUGCGAGCGUUGUCCGGAAUUAUUGGGCGUAAAGAGCUCGUAGGCGGCCUGUCGCGUCGGUUGUGAAAGCCCGGGGCUUAACCCCGGGUCUGCAGUCGAUACGGGCAGGCUAGAGUUCGGUAGGGGAGAUCGGAAUUCCUGGUGUAGCGGUGAAAUGCGCAGAUAUCAGGAGGAACACCGGUGGCGAAGGCGGGUCUCUGGGCCGAUACUGACGCUGAGGAGCGAAAGCGUGGGGAGCGAACGGG